rnacentral:lncRNA from 1 species
AUGGGCUCAAUAAAGGACAGAAAUGGUACGGACCUAACAGAAGCAGAAGAUAUUAAGAAGAGGUGGCAAGAAUACACAGAAGAACUGUACAAAAAAGAUCUUCACAACCCAGGUAAUCAUGAUGAUGUGAUCACUAAUCUGGAGCCAGACAUCUUGGAAUGUGAAGUCAAGCGGGCCUUAGAAAGCAUCACUACGAACAAAGCUAGUGGAAGUGAUGGAAUUCCAGUUGAGCUGUUUCAAAUCCUGAAAGAUGAUGCUAUGAAAGUGCUGCACUCAAUAUGCCAGCAAAUCUGGAAAACUCAGCAGUGGCCACAGGACUGGAAAAGGUCACUUUUCAUUCCAAUUCCAAAGAAAGGAAAUGCAAAAGAAUGCUCAAACUACCGCACAAUUGCACUUAUCUCACAUGCUAGUAAAGUAAUGCUCAAAAUUCUCCAAGCCAGGCUUCAGCAAUACGUGAACCGUGAACUCCCUGAUGUUCAAGCUGGUUUUAGAAAAGGCAGAGGAACCAGAGAUCAAAUUGCUAACAUCUGCUGGAUCAUUGAAAAAGCAAGAGAGUUCCAGGAAAACGUCUAUUUCUGCUUUAUUGACUAUGCCAAAGCCUUUGACUGUGUGGAUCACAAUAAACUGUGUAAAAUUCUGAAACAGAUGGGAAGACCAGACCACCUAACCUGCCUCUUGAGAAAUCUGUAUGCAGGUCAGGAAGCAGCAGUUAGAACUGGACAUGGAGCAACAGACUGGUUCCAAAUAGGAAAAGGAGUACGUCAAGGCUGUAUAUUGUCACCCUGCUUAUUUAACUUAUAUGCAGAGUACAUCAUGAGAAAUGCUGGACUGGAAGAAACACAAGCUGGAAGCAAGAUUGCUGGGAGAAAUAUCAAUAACCUCAGAUAUGCAGAUGACACCACCCUUAUGGCAGAAAGUGAAGAAGAACUAAAAAGCCUCUUGAUGAAAGUGAAAGAGGAGAGUGAAAAAGUUGGGUUAGAGCUCAACAUUCAGGAAACGAAGAUCAUGGCAUCAGGUCCCAUCACUUCAUGGGAAAUAGAUGGGGAAACAGUGUCAGACUUUAUUUUUGUGGGCUCCAAAAUCACUGCAGAUGGUGGUUGCAGCCAUGAAAUUAAAAGACGCUUACUCCUUGGCAGAAAAGUUAUGACCAACCUAGAUAGCAUAUUCAAAAGCAGAGACAUUACUUUGCCGACUGAGGUCCAUCUAGUCAAGGCUAUGGUUUUUCCUGUGGUCAUGUAUGGAUGUGAGAGUUGGACUGUGAAGAAAGCUGAGCGCUGA